ACAUCAGAAGGGAGGUGAUCCGAGAACAUGAAGUUCCUUCGGACCGAUGAGGUGGCCGCGCGCUAGCGCGUCCUGAUUCUCCCGUCGCCGACACCCGUCAGGGCCGACGACGACAGGACUCGGUGGCGACCUCGACGCGACCACCGGAGCCCGCGGGCGCCGUGCCCUCGUCCAGCACGGCAGGGAGGCGACUCCCAGCCCGCGGGCUCUUCCAU
rnacentral:sRNA from 1 species